rnacentral:rRNA from 1 species
AUGCAUUUUUUUUCAUAUCAGAAAAGAGAAGCAAUACAUGUGUGUAUAUCAAAUAAAUGGCUAGGAAUGCAAUAUUCACAAGUAAAAAAAAGGUAUCAAGGUGGACACAUACAUCUAACAAAAAUGGAAAAGGACAGAAAAUUGUAUGCUCGGUGGUCAGUGCAUACAUACACAUCCGACAGUGGGAGUCUACGACAGAAUAUACAUCACACAUACAGCAGCUAUCACCACGAAAGAAAGAAAAAAAUGAAGUCAGUGAACUUACAGCAGUCAUCAAGCUAUCACUGUAGUGCGCAGACACAAACAACAGCAGCUAUCACCAUUAAAAAUCUACCUUAG